CAUCCUACUCCUGGGAAUUUUAUAGAAGCAACAGAAAACCACUGACAUCCAGACCCCCUCUCCAGACAUUAUCUUUUAAUUAUGCUGGGUGGGGGUGAAAGAUUAAUGAUGUCUAAAAGUUCCUGCAGGGGUUCUGAUAUUCAAUGAAGGUUUAAAAUUACACAUGUAGGACAUCAUCAGUCAGCUUGAUCAGGCCAGUGGCGAAGGAGUCUCUCAGGACAUGAUAAGAGAUAUUUCUGAUAGAUUUCCUGCCUGACCCCAAUUCUCAGAGGCCUUUAGGAUAUGAGGGUGUGUCUUUGAGAAGAUGAGAAGAUCGCGGGCCUCUGUUCUAAACUGGCAUGAUUCUAAAGAAAAGGUGAGACUGCUGAGGUCUUCAGUCUUCAGAUAAAAGAUCAACUGAAGACUGGCUAUUAACCAUAUUGUUUUUAAUUUCUCCCAUGUAGCUCUUUAUUCAUCUAAUGAGCAACGUGGUCCUAUCAGACAA